GUCCAACAACAACUAAAAUUAUUUUUAAAAAUAUACACAUAACAGGGCUGGGAUAUAGCUCAGUUGGUAGAGUGUUUGCCUUGCAUGCACAAGGCCCUGGUUCAAUUCCCAACAUCACCAAAAACAAACCAUAACAUAUAACAGAAAAAAAAAAAAAAACAGAAUGUAACCAAUGGACUAUAGGGAUAAACUGAUAGACCCAACCUGAUCUUUUCUUAAAAUUGGGCAUCUCGCCACAAAGCCAUGAAAAAAUAAUUUCGGCUUUACUAUAAAUUACUGCAAAUUCUGAACCUGCUUGGAAUGCUUGCCCAUGCCUUGAACUCACCCAUGCCUGCUCUCUGAGAGCAGCCCUCUCUGAAACUUUAGUGACGCCUCACAAAUCUUGGCCUUCCCUGGCCAGACAAUGACCCUCUCUGAGGCUCUAAUGGUCCUCAUAAAUUCUGAUGUUGGGGCCAGCAAAAAAAUGUAAACUACCAUUAGUGUAAACUACCAUUAGUGUGAUGCUUGUCAGAGUUCUGUUAUCUGUAACCCCCCUUUGUGUAACUUUCUAGGCUAUAAAGCUGGGCUGCAGGAAAGCUGGGGGGGCUGUCUUGUUCCCGCCGUUUUGGGAGGGAGAGGCAGCCCGGCAGGUUGAAAUAAUAAGCAUGCUUUAAUUUGAUUUUAAUUGGAGUCAGUGGUCUUUUCUUUCGUCCUGGUCUAACAAAACAACCACUUAAAAAUAUAAAAUAAUACACAGAAGUAAAUCUUAAUUGUAAAUAUAAUAAAAUC
rnacentral:lncRNA from 1 species